AGAGUUUGAUCCUGGCUCAGGAUGAACGCUGGCGGUCUGCUUAACACAUGCAAGUCGAACGGAGUACUUUCGGGUACUUAGUGGCGGACGGGUGAGUAACGCGUGAGAAUCUGCCCAUAGGAUAGGGACAACAGUUGGAAACGACUGCUAAUACCUGAUGUGCCGAGAGGUGAAACUUUUAUGGCCUGUGGAUGAGCUCGCGUCUGAUUAGCUAGUUGGUAGGGUAAAGGCUUACCAAGGCGACGAUCAGUAGCUGGUCUGAGAGGAUGAUCAGCCACACUGGAACUGAGACACGGUCCAGACUCCCACGGGAGGCAGCAGUGGGGAAUUUUCCGCAAUGGGCGAAAGCCUGACGGAGCAAGACCGCGUGGGGGAUGAAGGUUUGUGGAUUGUAAACCCCUUUUGAUUGGGAAGAAUAACUGACGGUACCAAUCGAAUAAGCCUCGGCUAACUCCGUGCCAGCAGCCGCGGUAAUUC
rnacentral:rRNA from 1 species